CUUGAGCGAGCCGAGCAGCAGUGGUUGCUCGGCCGGCCGACCCCGCCCGUACGUGGCGAGCAGCGCCUGCGCCUC
rnacentral:antisense_RNA from 1 species